ACAAGAUAAAUAAACGAAGUUCACAAACGCAUCAUGAGUGUCAUUGUGUGUUUACUUUGGGGAGGGUAUAUUUUAUUUGGGUUCUCUGUUACAAGUUGACCUCUGUCUCUCUCAAGUUUCUGUUCUUCUCUUCGUUUUUUGUCUUUCUUUUUUUAUUGCCUUCGUUGAUAGUGUGCCUUUUGAUUGUUUGAUUUAUGUUAUCGGGUCCCUCUUACUUCUACUUUGUUUAUUUGCUCAUUCUAAUCUUCUCUGAUAUCCGUUAGGUUAUGCUUGUGGUUCUUGGUUUCUUCUCUGGUGUCUGUUAGGGGGUUUGUUCACGUUUAUUUUUCUCUCUGCUCAGUUGUUUUGUUCACCAGGUUAGUUUUCUUUUUUUGUCUGGUUAGCAUCUUCAUGUUUCUAUUGUUUUUGCUUAUGUGGGUUGCAUGUUUCUUAACUCUGUAUAUUCUCAUAUGUUUUCUGAGCUGGCUUCAGGUUGCAGCUUUUCUUUGGUGCUUUUCUAUCUUCUUGUUGUUUGUUGUUGCUCGCGCUUUAGGGAGUCUUUACUGAGUAGAGAGUUGAGAGUGAACUUGUAUUGCCUUAGCGCGAGACUGUGAUGCAAAGGCAGAGCUUGGAGCUAUCCAAACUUCGGUGGAGGUGCUGUAAUGAGUAAUCUGUGCCACCCCUCAUCUGAAAGAGAAAAAUCGAUGCAGGUAAGGAUAAGAUUAUCCUGGGUUUCCCAAUUAGCAUAGGAUGGGUUGGGAAUUGUAGAACCAUCAGAGGCAUUGAUGGUUUUAGCAGGCUGUUGAAUGGUGCCAUCUACAUAGUUGAAAACCUUCUGACCUUUGCGGUACGGUAACAUGGUGGCUUUCCAUGUUGGGUAGUUCAAACGUUUGAGUUUAGUGAGGUUGAUGGAGGAGGAUGGGUUGAAGAUGGGAAGGUUGGAUUUAAAAGUAGUUAAAGUUGUGGAAUUUUAGGAGGCAUACAUUUUGAAGAGGAUCAAUUAACGUGCUUAGGCAGCUCUAAUACCAUGCAUAUUAUUCUAUAUACUUUAAGAAUACAAUGAAUAAGGUUUUAUAGAUAGAUAAUCUAUAACCUUUUCCUCUACGUAAGCUAUUUAAAAAUGAAAAGAUGAUAUCACAAUGUUAAACAAAUCAAUUAGCCCGAAAUAUCAGCAAGUAGUUUCAGUUUUGAAUUCUAUCUCCAACAGUCUGAAAGCAGAGGAUGAAUCAGUUUCAGUAACCUGCCAUUGAAAUGCCUAUACACUGGUGCCGGGAUUUUAGCUGCUGCUAGCAUCAUUAUCAGCACUUUCCUCUUGGUUUUUGUUGCGGAGUGGAAUGACAAAUCAUUUUUCUCGACAAUUGGUGAGAUACUACGCUGACAAUUUAUAAUCACCAGAAAGAUUGUAACACUUGCUGGAAACAAUUAUGUAUGAGACUUGGUUCUCUAUCCUGAUUUGCGUGAACCAUCAAGAACUGUACUAUUUAAGCAGAUUUUUUGGAUCUGCAUAUCAAUUUACAAAUGUUUCCUAACUAGACUGUAGAGGUGGACUUGGUCUAAAUGCGCCAGAGCUAGCCUGAAAAUAACACUUAGCCACAAACUGAGGGGGGAAAAAAUAUAGUCGUUGUUUGCUUGGACAUUUGAGUAUUGAUUGCACUAUCCCCACGUUGAUGAAAAUCGUCUCCUGGAUUGUGUGUGUGUGUUUCAGCCGAAGGGACAAUUACUCGGAGUAAUGAUGAGCUAUUUUUCGUCCUCCAAAAAAAAAAAGAAAAAAGAGAGGCCAUAGGCCCGUAUUAGUAAUGUAGAGUAAAAAACACCAUGAAAACGAAGUUCGUUUGGUAUAUGAACUGUUUGAGAAAACAGGAUUGGAUGAUUUUAUUCCUGUUAGUAUUCAAAAUGCGUGGUGCCUUUUCUUCUUGCCUAGGAAGACUGAAUUUGGAUUAUAUUAUAUUUGUAUACCGUCUGAAUUCUCAAGUGCCUGUAUACAUAGUAAAUGUUUCCCUCUCUGCUUGUCCCCUUGGGAUCCUGCAAGAAUUUUCUCAUGCUGCACUUUCAGCAGCCUCUUUACCUGUCAUUGGCGGACCCCUGACUGGUCAUGGUGUUGCAACAGUGAUUGAUGCUUUGGGAGGUUCUUUACUUGGGACGUUCUUAUCAGAAAUGGCAGGGUUGAAAUUUCAACUUUCGUUUAUAAUUAAGCAAAAGAUAUCCCUUCAAAAUAUAUUUUCCUUGUCUCUGCUACAUGGAAUUAUAGAAUGUCCAACUUAGUGCACCUUGAUUUUGUCUCUUCAACAAUGGCAGUCACGCAUAUGGUUGGACCUGUGUUGAUGAUGGGAAAUGAUUUGUAUCUACCGUAGAUCUUGUGGGUCCCACAAGGAGAUCCCACUUGAUCAACGGUGGGAAUGAAUCGAGCCACCUAGCAUGAUACAUUGAUGACUGGCCCAUAAUUGUCCUCUAUUCUGCAUUUGUUACCAUCAAAAUUUGUUCGAAACUUGUUGAUGCUAUCAGCAUCUCUUACUUCUACCAUUUAAUUCCUGGUCAAUCAUAACCAGUAUUUGAAACUUUCUGAGGCCAAUUAAUCCAAUAUGGAAUCCAGUCGGUACAUCUUCUUAAUUGAUAGAAGGCAUGUAUGUAGUGCAAUGAAUGUCAGUGGAGCCAUUUCCAACUACAUGGAUUCAGCCUGAAGAUUUGUAUGAAUUGUCUAGUCCAAGAAUGUAAGGUCUGAAACAUCAUGGUAUUUGUACCUUGAAAAUAUCCCUCGGUUGGACCAUCAUGAUUUAGCAACCAAUAGAUUUUUUCCCAUA